UUUCAAUGAGGCCUACUGCUUGUGGGUAAUAGGGUAUAUGAUAAAUCCAUUCUAUAUUAUAUUGAGCACAGUAAUCAGUAAUUAACUUACUUUUAAAAUGAGAUCCGUUGUCACUUUGUAUUUGUAAUGGCACUCUAUAAUAUAAAAUAAUAUAAUCUAAGGUUUUCAGAGUAUUUUGUUGGGUGGCCCGUUUAUAGGGACAUCCAAUAAGCACACCAGAAUAAGUAUCUACAAUAGUGCAUAUGUAAGUGCACCCUUUAGAAAUGGGGAGCGGCCCUAUGUAAUCUAUUUGCCAAAUUUGUGCCGCUUGUUUUCCUCGAGCUAAUUCUCCUGUGACGAUACGGGGGACAUUUUGCAAUCGUUCUUGGUUACAAACUGGACACUGUGUUGUGAUGGUUUUUCAUACAUCUAAUGGCAGGUAUAUGCCUCUCUGUUGUGCCCACCUGUACAUAGCUUUGGCUCCUGCGUGUCCAGUGUGUUCAUGCACCCAUUUUGCGCACUUGGGAUGAUCUUCAGGUAGAGAUGGAGUUUCACCACAUUGACCAGGAUGGUCUCGAUCUCUUGACCUCGUGAUCCACCCGCCUCAGCCUCCCAAAGUGCUGGGAUUACAGGCUUGAGCCACCUUGCCCGGCCUUCAUAUCUUCUUAAAAAAACUACCUAUGGUGAGUAGUUACUGUCUUAUUUUUGCUGGUCUAGGCUCUGUUCUCUCAUUUCCUUGGGGAAACUCUCUCUCAUCCCCGAUUAUGUGUUUCUCAUGUGACACAGGCUUAUUCAAUUAGCGCUGUUUAUUUUUAAAUUUUUCAUAGCCCAUGGCUGCUAGAGUUUAGUGACCCUGCUGCUUCAUCCAGGGCUGGACAUUUGCCCCAAGCCAGGCUAAUCAAAACCAGUGAGACUCAAUUCUGGGUUAUCUCUUAGAAGCAUUGGAGAUGAGAAGCUCUCUUUCCUCUGGGCUUGAAAUGAGUAGUAUCUACCACUUUCAGUCUGCAGCUGUUGGGAGUCAGUUUGCUGUUUGCAUAGGAGAGGCUUCCUGAGACGGAAGCCAAGGCAAAACAAAGCCAAGUAUGCACCAGACACCCUGAAUCCUUAUGACAGUGUAUGAGCUUUAGCAUCCAAACACCCAUGCCUGAUGCAGUAGGAACUACUCUAGGUCUACCAGUUACUCAUCUCAACAUGUUCCUUUUUUGCCUUAAGUUGGUUUGGAUUGCUUUGAGUCUCUUGUAAUCUACAGAGCCUUGAUGAUGUCAGUCUUGCCAUUCUUGUUUCCUAGAUGGAGAAACUGAAGUGGAUAUUGACAUGGCCAGAGUCAAGCAGCAGGAUUCGGGGGGAAAUGGGGUAAACCACCCACCCCCUACACAGUGGGCAAGUGGAGCUGGAGGACAUGAGGCCUGUUCCCUUAGAACCUCCCUCAACCCUGCUUUCAAGCCCCAUUCUCCUGCCUCAGCCUCCCAAAGUGCUGGGAUUUCAGGCAUGAGCCACUGUGCCUGGCCUAAAUUUAAUUUUUCAUUGCAUGUGAAAUUAGCAUUCUGAGCCCAAUGAAGGAAGUUUCAGGCCGGGGGCGGGGCUGUGGCUAAUGCUUGUAAUCCUAGCACUUUGCUCAUCUCCCAUCCCCCUGUAGAGUCUGGUAAAUAAGGAUAUUUACAGUGUAAAUAAGAGUGCCUCCUGUGCCUGCAGCACCUUACCAGGUUACUCUGAGUAGGCUAGGUUCCUCUCCCAACCAAUUAAUACUGCUGUCAGUUACUAGAGUCGAUUUAGCAUCCCUGGCUGCAUCUUGAAGUUGAGCUGCUUGUGUCAUUUGAACCAUGAUCUCUUCACUCCCCUUUGAACUAUCAUAAAGAAAUCACAUAAGUGUUUUGAUUUGAGAGUCUGAUGAUCUUUGCCUCCUGCCAGGACUGCAAUGAAGGUUAGAGUUCAGGAAACAGAAGCAUAGCAUUUUUAUUUAUCCUAUUCUCUAUUUCUCUGACAGUAGCAGGUCCAAAGGUGAGUGUCAUUUUCUCUGCCAUACUUUAUGUCACCUGAGCAUGUUAAAUCCAGAAUCCACUGUUCUGUACCUAUUUUCAGUGACUGAGUGGUAAGGGCAAAGAAGGGCAGAAAGGAUCACUGUGGUCCCCCAUUGCCAGAAGUGUCUUGGUCUUAGUUUCCCAUCAACAGUGGUGUUCUGGCUAGGUGCGGUGGCUGGUGUUUGUAAUCCCAGCACUUUGGGAGACAGGCAGGCAGAUCACCUGAGGUUGGGAGUUCGAGACCAGCCUGGCCAACAUGGUGAAACCCUGUCUCUACUAAAAACACAAAAAUUAGCUGGGCAGGGUAGCAGGUACCUGUAAUCCCAGCUAUUUGGGAAGCUGAGGCAGGAGAAUUGCUUGAACCCUGGAGGGAGAGGUUACAGUGAGCCGAGAUCUCACCAUUGCACUUCAACCUGGGCAACAAGAGUGAAACCCCAUAUAAAAAAAAAAAAAAAAAAAAAAAAAAACCAAUAACAACAGAAAACAAUGAUAUUCUAAGUAUAAUAACAGAUCAACAGCAUUCCAACCCAGGCACCCUAAAAAGGUCACUAUUCGUUGCAUAUUUAGCAUACCAACCUGCUCCUUCCUUGUGAGUAAUUCCAUCCAGGUAUUCAAGAAAGGGUCUGAUUUGGCUAAGCCAGGGUUUCUCAAUCUUAGCACUGUGGACAUCUUGGGCAGGAUAAUCCUUUGUUGUCAAGGAGUUAUCCUGUAUAUUGUAGGAUGUUUAGCAAUAUCUCUGGUCUCUACCAUUAGACGCUAAUAGCACCCUGUGCCCCAGUUAUACCACCAAAAAUAUCUGCAGACAUUGCCAAAUGUCUCCUGGGUGGGGGGUAACACCACUCCCAGUUGAGAACCUCUGCUAUAGAUUGAUAAAACAGGGAAUUUGAGAUAGAGGGAUAUACAUCUAGGUCUCAAACCUGAGAGGAGGGGCUCCUGGUGUAAACAUGAGGGAUGGACACUAGGUUUCCUGGCAAUAACUCCUCCUAGCAGGAACACCCAGGCUGUCUGACACAGUAUGUGUCAGCGCAGAAUCUACUCUCUGCCCAUUUCAGAUAAAUGUGCAGUAAAAUGCAUGAAAUUAUGUCAAAGGCAUGUUUGCUGGAGGCUCAGUGUCCCCAGUCAGUGUAACCUUGUCUUGCUCAGGGAGACCUGGGGGAAGAAGGAGCAAUGGACUGGGGGCCACAGAGUCUGGCCCCUUUUCUAGCACCUGAUGCAUCUGUUGCCUACCAGUGUCUUUCUCUCAGUGGAGUCUCCACAGGGCAGAUGGAAAGCCAUCUGCCAGGGAAGUGAGGGUGAGUUGCUAGCCAGUGGCAGCCUCCAGAUCCUUAGCAAUCCUCCUUCUAAAAGUGCAGAGCCCCUUGAGGAUGCCCCAGGGCUGAGAGACUGAGGGGCCUGCUUGCCCCUCCCCUCUCUAGCCUCUCUCAUGCUGUCUUGCCUAGGCCAUCCUCUCUGGCCUCCUAAGUUGCUUAGGCUGCCCGCCUCCCUCGGAUGACAACCACACUGGGCAGAUAUCUAGUGAGUGCUGCAGGGCCACCAUUCCUCCUCCUUCUAUUUCUUAGUAUUUGCCCCACCCCAUGUUGCAAUUCUUUAGGGAAGCUUUCUUGACCUCACUGUAUGAAGCACCCACCCAGCUAUUCUGGAAUGUCUCCUUUAUUAGUAGAAGUAAACUUAUCAUUAUCUGGUGUUAUCUUUACUUGUUGAUUGACACACAACCCCUCAGUUAAAGUUUAAAUUACAGAAGAACAAGGACUUGGUGUUGAUCAUCUUUGGAGUCCUCAAUGCCUAGAACAGUACCUGGCACAUAGUAGAUGCUCAAUAAAUACUUGUUGAAAGAACCAAUAAAGGAGAAAUUUAGUUAGGCAUUGGAGUCCUAUAAGGAGGAAUCUUCCUUCACAUACCAAUAGAGUGUUCUCUUCCUCUGAACUGGAGUGGCUUCUUCGCCCAUGAUCCUUGGCACCCAGUCUGUGGCCAUACGGACCACACCCUCUGCAGACCCUAAGCUGUGUGUUGAGUCUUCUCUUCCAUGGCUCUGGGGAACUCUGGAUCCAUUUUUUCUCACUUCAUGAUCCAAGAAACUGAUUCUUUCAUCUAAUUGUACACCAGACUCUCCCCAGACCCCAUGAAUGAAGUAAUCUUUGUUUUAGGGAGUUUGAAAAUCAGGGGUAAAAAUAAAGCAGACACCAUGGAGCAGGGCUGAGUUACGGUAGUCACAAGAGCAUCUGAUAGUUCCUCUGUGACUCAUCCAUUUAUUUUAAAGACAUCCAAAUAUGACAGUACGUUGAAAAGGAAUGCAUGUUACUUAUUCCAUACUGGGGAAGUGGCACGAUAACAUUGUUUUAAAAAACAUCUUUAAAAAUUUCUAACUCAUCUAUCGUUGAGUUAGAAAAACAAGCUUUGCCAAACGCCCGAUUAUGCCUUUACUAUUCCUGUUGGCUGGCAUGUCUCACCAACUUUUCCCUGGUGUUUCCUUUGGCACUGUUGAGCCCACACCACAAAAUGGGAACAAAUCCCACCAAACCACACUAUGCCCCCAGCUUCCCCAUCAUCUGAGGUUGCACCAGGAGACUGCUGUGGGGGAGGCAGAGGACACCUUCUGGACCAUUAAGAAAGUGUUAGAGAGUCUAACCCAGGCUUCACUCUGCCUGGGCACCCACUCUGGGGUAGCAGGAAGAACUUUGGCCUGGGUAGACACCUGGUGUUAAUUACCUGUGUGUCUUUGGUCUGUGAUCACUGCAUUCUUCCACGUGUUCAACCCUCAGUUUUCCUGCCUACCAGUAAUGCCCUAUGGCUCCUCCAUCUCUGAUAUCUGGUAUCCCGAGUCUGAGAGGGGCAGGUCAUUUGCUGCUAUGGGCUUCUGCUCUCAGCAAAGGCAGUGGGCAACUGCUUGAUCUUAGGGUUCAGUCUGGCCACAGCUUUGUCUCUGGUGAAGGGCCAGGUUAGAUCAAUCCUGGUCCUGGCCUUUCCUGAAGAUUACCCUGGGGCUUUUUUUCUCAGUGCUUGGGAGUUCUCCCUUUUCUUGCCCCUCUUAUCAGCUUUUUGAAGCAUCAGACUUUAGUUCCUUGCUAUGAGACUGAAAAGGCAAAGUCAUCUUGCUAACAAGGGCCUUUUGGCAUGUCUAUAAUAGCAACAACAGCAGUAAUAAUGACAACAGCAUCUUACAUUUAAGGUUUUUAGUUUACACUUUACAAAGAGCUUUUAAAUACAUAGUUUCAUUGGCCAUCGUACGACCCCUUGGUUGAGUCAAAGAGACCCUCUUUUCCCUUUCCUGAAUCCUGCUCAGGGGGAACACAGCUUGAGUGGCCUCUUCUGCCCACGUACACCCCCACACAAACAUGGAAACACACCUUUUCAGGAGAGAAUUAACAAACUGAACUCUUCCUACCCCAUGGAAUGUCCUGUUUCUAGAAUGUGACUGCUCAAGGAGAAAGAGAGUUUCAAUUGUCAUUUGUCAGAGGAACUUCAUGUUUGGGAGAAUUUUUAUAAUGGUCCUUGCAUUUGGCAGUUCCAAACUUGAGGGAGAAGGCUCAAAAUUGUGAGGGACAGGACUGGCCCUUUUGCUGUCUUUGUUGAUGGGGGCCGGAUUCAGGAUUGGGCCCGGGGUGAUGGGCAGAGGGCGGUCUUGGGUUCCUUGGGUAGGCAGAGGGAAACCUGGCAGCUUGUUGAGUCCUCCCAGGAAGCCAGUGACCCUGUUGGGGCUCUUGAGAUGGCAGGCUGAGUAGGCUCCCGGCUGGGUGGGGAGAGGCUAAAAGGGACAUUGGUGGUGGGAUAAAGCUCAGAUCCAUCUGCCUGGGGGGAGAGGAGUGAUGGGGUGAGGGAGGUUGGAAAGGGUGUUGGGCAGAUCCCAGGACCCUCUUCAAGGGCAGAGCUUCUAUGCUGUCAUACCAUUUGUGAUCCAUGUGGCUGGCACAGAGUAAACCACAGGGAGCUCUCAAAUCCAUUUUAGGUGACAGCUCUGUCUCCUUUUUCAGGUCUUUAUGCUCUUCCUAAAGCAGAGCUUGUCUUGCUCUUCCCUUCCUCGAACAAUCUUGCUGGCACCUUGGCCUAGUUUAGUAUGCAUAGCUCUUUGUGGUCAAAACCCUGCCUUCACACCUACCCCAUUUCUCUCUGCUCCUCAGUGUGCUUCCCAUGCUCGUGCAUCCUAGACAUUGACUCUUCCCCAAACAAGCCAGGCCUUGCCGUUUCCUCAUUGCUUUUUAAUAGGCCAUUCCCAGGAAAGUUCAAUUCCCUUUCCUAGCUCUGGCAAACUCCUGUUCAGCCUUGAAGACCCAUGAUUGGAAAUUCCCUCUUCUGGACAGCCAUUUCCAUUGCUUUAUAUUGCCAUUCGAGAGGUCCUUUUGUACUAAGGCAAUUAUACAUUUGUAUGACUGUUUUUGUCAUAGGCUGUAGGAUCCUCAAAGGCAAGACAUAUCUGUUUCCCACAAGAAGCAGGAUGGUUUAGUGGCUGGGUGAGCAAGGUCUGGAGUCAGAUAGCCUGGGCUCAGAUCUUGGCACCGCAGUUUAUUAGAUAUCCACUCUUGGGCAAGUUCUUUUAAGACACAAGUUCGCUGUGUCUUAGUCUACUCAACCAUAAAAUGAAUUAAUAGUAUUUUAACUACAUGAUUGUUUCAAGAAUUAAAUGAAUAUAUAUAUAUAUAUAUAUAUCACAAUGAGAGUGGUAUUUGAUAUAGUACUAAAUAAAUCUGAUAUAAUAUUUGAAAUAGGCUGAGCAUAGAGGCUCACACCUGUAAUCCCAGCAUUUUGGGAGACUGAGGCAGGAAGAUUUCUUGAGCCCAGGAGGUUGAGACUGUAGUGAGCUAUGAUUGAACCACUCUCCUUCAGCCUGGGUGACAGAGCAAGACCCUGUCUCAAAUGACAACAAAAAACAAAGCCAUCAUAAGGCACAGUACCUGGAACAUAAUGGAGAUUUACAUACAUAUUUUUAGAUAAAUUCUACUACUAUCUCCCUCUCUCCCUUCUCUUUAGCCCCCCUCCCCCUCUUCCCACCCUCCCUAACUUGCUUGCUUCCUUCCUUCCUUACACCUAUCUUCCUUUCUUUUCUUUCUCCCUUCUUUACUCCCUGAGUCUCUGGCCCACCAUUGGUCCUCACAGAGCCACUAGGCUCCUCUAGGGACCCUGAGAGCUGAAAGGUCCAAUGACUUCCAAACUCUUCUCCAUGAAACUUCUAUAGUAGAGGCUCCUGGGGAAAGGAGGGAUGGAUGAUGAGAGCCAGGGAGUUGGUGUGAACAGCUGAGCCCUGGAAGAUAGGUGGCUAACCUGAUGGGAUAGAAGGGGGCAAAUGGGAAGUGAGGGAGGGACAGACAUGGAAAGAAACGGGCAGGGAAGUCCCCUUCAGUAAUGGAGGCAGAGGCUAGAGGGGCUGCCCUUGCAGCCCAUAGAUACAUAAUCCCUGCCCUCCAGAAUCUUUCCAGAUACUGAGGAGGGAGGAAGAGGAAUGAGAAUGAGCAAGGCAGAACAAGAACAGGAAAAACAUCUUUCCUUUUCUGGCAGGGCUGCUCUGAUGAAUUUGAGCCACCUGAAUCACCUGUGCUCACCCACUCUGGAGAAAGAAUCUCAAGCUUUGGGUCUGGACUUCCGAUCCAGCUCCUCCACUUAUCUGGUGUGUGGCUUCAGGCAAGUUCCAGAGCCUGUGAGGGCCUAAACUUCCUUCUUAGUGAACGGGGCUCUACUCCCUUAUCCUUCCCAGGGAGUCAGGGGUUGCACAGAUAAAUUAAGGUACAGUUUGGAUAUGCAUUGGAAAGUGUUGCAGAUGGGCAAGGUCUCUGUCAUCAUGAUGGUGACCUGGAGGAUCAGGUGGCAGAGGCGUCUUACAGCAAGAGCCUCCAAGAACCUUCCAGAAUUGGACAUCUACUAGUGCUGUGGGCAGGCUUGGCUCCCAGCCUUCUGCAUCCCAGAAGGGCUGACUACCUUCUCUCCUGGGAUACAUUCCAAUUAAAAAUUACCUGGAAGGAGGAGGGGGCCAGUAUGUGGGGCCUGAGGACACGGCAUGAUACUCUCUUCCCUCGCCUCCUCUAGGAAGACCCCUCUCCUGGGGAGGAGCAGGAAAAAUAGCAGCUGUUUAAAAAUUUGGUAACAGUCCCAAAUAAAAGCUGCAGUGGAGUUCAAUAGUCAGUCCUUGAUUGGAAGCCAAGGUAAGCCAGGAAGGAGAAGCGGGGUCCCCCAGUGGGUUCAGAUCCUGCAGGGGAGUCUGGGACAGACAGGGACAGCAAAUUUGCAGUGAGACUGAGAAGGCCAGGGCUUAGCAGCUUUUCCUGGAAGAACUGGGUAUCUUGGGCACUGACAUCCAGGACUCUGAAAAGCUGGGUACUUUUAGGGGAGGGGGAGAAAAGGGAGUUAAAAAACAAAGAUCCUUUCCUUCUCUCUCUUCCUCGUAUUCCUUUUUCUGAUCUCAGUGAGCAGGUCUUGGUUUACUGCCGACACGUUUCAUAAACAUGAAACAUCUUCCUCCUUCCUCAGACAGGCUAUCUUUCUUUAUUCUUAUCCUUUUGUUUUAAAGCAUUUUUAUUAGUCUUUUUUUUUCUUAAACUUUUAAACAGCUGUUUAUAAAAACACAACAAAUACACAACACAAAACUUGGCAAAAAUAACUCACUAUAUGGUACAUAUACUCAGAUGACGUGAUAUAUUUAUAUAAUAAAAGAUGAAAAUAGUCACUUUCCAUAAUAAAAAUAAGUUCUAUUUUUUGUUUAUUUUACAAUAUACUUAAUAUUCUCUUCUUCUUUAGCUUCCUCUCCAGCUUUGUCUCCUUCACGCUGAAUCUCCAGGGGUCCCACAUGGCUGUUCCAGCCUCACCAAGCUGGAGUCUGAGAGGUGGCAGGGCUUAGGAACACACGAGGCAGCCGCACUCUAAGUGUCUCUCCACCUCUUCCACGAAUGAGGAGCCGUCCGUGCACUGGAAGACGUAUUUCCGACGCUUGCUGCGGGUGGGCUGGCAGCACUGGGGCCCGCAGCCCCCGUGACAUUCCAUGAUGGGCACCUUGGAGGCUGUUGCGCAUGAUGCAUAACCUUUCUGGCGGCGGAUCACCUCUCGGACUACCUGUCCUAGGCAUGGAUUCGCUGCAGAGAGCACAAAAGGACAGUGGUGGUCUAGGUGGCCAGCGGGACCACGAGCAGUUCUCAGGUAUAAAAUGUGAAAGAGUCCUCAAGGGAUGGGGUGGAAGGCCUGGGAUCCUGGUGGCAGGGAGCAAGGCUUCUCAGUGUCCAUGCAAGAGAAAGACCCUCAAGAUAAUUUCCUGACUGAUGUGGCAAUGUGUUUAGACAAUCACAUUGCCAGUGUUGGCUCUGGUGUUAUUUUUGGCUGAUUCCGGUUUCUUAACACUGACAGUACUGGAUCUCCUGAGGCCUGAAAAAAUAAGAUGAUCUGGUUGCCCUCUGCGCUAUGACCCCACUGGCUGAACUGAGGGGUCCGCCCCCAUAGACAAGUGCACCAAAUAACCUGUCGUCCCCACCAGGCCCCUCAGCCCUCUGAUCCAGGCCUCGCAAGAGAACCCAGGGCAGGCGAGCUACAGCUGCGGAGAGAAGAUAAGGUUUGGGGGAGCGGCUUGAUCAAUGAGACUUUGGGGUUCAGUGUUUUGAGACCAGUUUGCUGCCUUCUGUGCUGUGUACCCCUCUUCUCAGGGUCUUCAAAAGGCUGUUAGUAAAGACCUAAUUUGCUUUUCAAUAAAGCCUGAUUUGUGUUUUCUCUCCCCUUCUACACUACUCUCUGCCCACCUUCUACAGUUGAGAGCUUGGGACUGGCCUAGAAGCAGGGCACCCAGUUCUAUUCUGGCUGUACCUGGAGCUGGUGGGGUGGGGGCAUGGUCCUCCUCCAGGGUGAAGUGGUGUCCUUCUGGGGCUGCCCUCAGCCCAGAGCUUUCCCUGGCCUCCCUGCAUCUGAACCACCCAUUAACAAUGCCCUCUUCUAGGCCUGUGCCAGUAUCUGCAGAUGGACUCUGUGGGUGAAGUCUCAGGAAUCUU